GGGAAGAGGAAUGUCAGAGAGUGGGCAAAAUACAACAGGAAAGGUCCAAAUUCACCCUCUGAGGGCCCGGGGCACGGGGGCAGCCUGCUCUCCUCCUGGGGCCCUGUUCCCUGUGGGGACUGGAAGAGAGGCUUUGAGUCUAGGGCCUGGGGCAGCCAGGACUGACGGGGGUGCAGUCCUAGAAGGGUCGGCAGUCACGGUGGCCCACCAUGGCAUCUCCGUAUCCUUGCUGCAUGCUGCACCCACUCCAGCUGCCAGAGCACGGAGGCAGAGACGUGGGAGCCGAUGAAGGUCGCACGCCAGCCUCCCACCUGUGAGACAAAGGGCCCUGUCACUGGAAGCCACGUCCAGCCUGGCCCCGCAGGAGCCAGGGCUCUGCGCCUAACGGAGGACUGAUGGGAAAGGGAAGGCUGGCAGCAGUGAGGUUUUUUGACCUUGGCAAUGUUCCCGUCAGACUGCAGAAGAAUUGACUAUUCCCGUUCAGGUAGAUGAUGACCGGCCCCAUAAACAGCCACCAAGGGUCACCCUCUCCCUCCCCAGCCCUGAAGGCCAAGAAAUGGGACUGGGCUCCUUGGAUUUAUGACCUUCUGGCUCCUGCAGAGAGAGGAGGACUGGGGCUUGACAAGGACACGGGGCUAAGGACUGUCCUUGGAUCUCAGUAGGACAGCUGACCUUCCCUCCACCCAAUGACUGCUCCAGUCUGAUCGUUCCUGGCCACCUGAUAAUCUCUUUGUGCAAACACCAGGAAGCCCUGGUUAGAGGUGUGGACACCAGGUGUUCUUGAGGAGGACAGUGGUGACUCAGUUUUAUCUGACCCCAUGCUCUCAAGUUCCUUUUCUGUGAGACACUUCUUAUGUGCUACUUUGGACCCUCUCACUUAUCUGUGGGCCAUUGGCCACUGGCCCCAGCCACAGCUGAGACCACCAACUCUGCAUGGACUCAGACAGGCUUCACCCAGGCACACCCAGCAGCCCCUGCCUCAGGUCCCAGCUAUGCACCCCUUAGGCUUGCCUGGAUACUAGGAUGGGAGACACUGCAUCCAUCCAUCCACGACCAGCAAGUAGAGGCAAUUAAUACCCUUCAGGCGACCCAACGCGAGCUGGGAGCCUGUGCACAAAUUAUUCUCCUUUUCUCCCAAAAGGAUUGUGCCGAGAAACAUUUGUGCAGCUUCCCGGAGGAUGGCCCUUGGGGUCGAGCAAGCAGUUAUGUUUGUUACCAAGCCUCGGCCAGCUCCAUAACACACCCUGGAGUUGGCACCACUUCCUUCCCAGCUACACUCCCCUUUCUCUCACACCUGCUCCCUGGGGUCACCUCCCUACCAAAGGAGGGGCACAGGAGCCUUUGUUUCCCGCUCUGCUUUCCAAGAAACCCAAACCAAGCCAUGCUGAGUUCCUUCCAGAGCUCCACUUCCACUUCACGGGAUCCUCUUAGUACCACAGUCAGCACCCAACAUGCCUCUGAGAUGGGCGUGUGAUCCUGACUGGCCAGUCGGCGCCUUAUUUCUCUGGCCACAGAACUUGGCUCAGGAGAUGACAUGUGACCAAUCCGAAUUUUCCCUGGGGACUGAUACGUGGACACCAGGGACCUCGUGCACCAGUAAGGUCGCUGCCUUCCUUCUCUGCCAGAGAUGAUUCUGUCUCAUCCAAUCAAGACUUGAGUGGACUCCAGCUUCCCAGAAAGCCUUUCUCCAUCAUCCCAGCCCCACGAGAUCUUACCCGCUUCACUGGUAACACCCAGAAUCCUCAGCACAACUGCUACCACCAGGACACAGUGAGGAGGUGGUCAUCAGCAACCCAGGAAGAGUGGCCUCACCAGAAACUGACCCUGCCAGACCUCGAUCUGAGACUUCCAGCCUCCAGAACUGUGGGACAUAAAUUCCUGUUGUUUAAGGUA
rnacentral:lncRNA from 1 species